UGAUGAGAAUGUCUUCCUUCCUCUGGUACAGAGAGGGUACCUUUCAUAUGGGACUUUCAUCUCCUGCUUUCAGGAAGAAAAAGGAGGAUCAGAAUGUCCUUCUUGGGCCUACUCAUUUUUUAAAACACCUUUAAAUCAAGAUAAUCAAAUACCAAGUGACAUAUUUUAAGGACUUCAAGAACAAUUGAAUAUCCAGAUGGCAAACAUGAAAGCAGUCCUUGAGCAGAGCUGCAACAGUAUCCUCAUGGACACUGAAGGAAACAUCUGCUUUUCCAGUGGCCUUCCUACUGGAACUAUAUUCCAUGGUGACUCCAACAGGCUUCAGUCACAACCUUGUGAGAAAAUGGUUCUACCAUACUAGUGCACAAAAAAUCAAGGUCUGAGAUGCAAGAAAGAAUGAAAAACAG